GUGGCCAGCUCGGUGUGUAUCAGCACAGCUUGCUGAAAACCUGGAAGUCUUGCUAAUUCCCACGCUCCUGUUUGUGCAGCUGUGUCUUAUGUACCAGGAGGCAGCACACUCUGCUAUUGUGCUGCACACUAUUUUAUUUACUGUAUUACCACAGUCUGUGACUCACUCCUGUCCUGCGAUAACAAGAAGCCUAAAUAGCACAGAAUUUAAAUUAAUUAUAACUGGUUUCCUUGUUUAUGAAAAAUAGUUUUUGAAGGUUCAAGUAUAAAGGGAAUAGUCAUUCCACCCCUUCUCCCUUCUGACAGUUCCCUGAGCACUCUCUGAAAGACCACUUAUGAGUUCACCUGCAGACCAACCUGACUACUACAAUUUCUAGGCUUUCAUUUGAUCUUGGAGCAAAGCACAACAGGAGGACAAUACUGCUUACGUUAUCUCGAGGCCUGUGUAUAGGAAACCAUAACUAAAGCUAGUAAUUAUCUGGAAGAUCAGGUUGGAGCUCAGUGGAGAAGCAUCUACUGCACGUUAAGAUCAGGCCAAGGAUAACGUCUUUAGACCUGGAUGCAAGUUUUAUUCUGGAGAGAUGACUGAACCACCCCAGGAUCUCAAUGGGAUUAAGAAAUGUACUGGGUUCAUCUCUCAUAAAGUAUUACACACACUUUGGAGAAGAGAUCAGAGAAGAGCUGGGAAGUUCUGUCUUGCAGGAUUUUACUGUGGUUUCUAAAGUUAUAUAAACAGAGCCUGAAAGUGAUAAUGAGCACCUCAGGGACAUGGAGAAUAACUUACCAUAACAGAGAAAAGCAAGUGAUUGGCACAGAUAAACAAGAGCUGCAGAUUCCCUGGAAACGGGGAUAAUCCACCUCUGAGAAGCAGAGCACCGGCCCUCCCGCUAAUGGACUGAAAUCUCUGCGCUGUGCACUGGAUCAGAUUUGCUCUUGCAGCGACCCCAAAUGCCCCAGCAGGCCCUGCCCUGCGCUGGUACAGGAACUGCAGUUCCCCCACGAGAGGAAAUGGCCACUCCGAGCGUCUAAGCGAUGGCUUCGGUCUCAGGGAGUCACUUGUCACCUCGUCUGUGACAGCUUCACUGUCUCCUCUGCAUGGAGGAAGGAAGCCUGGAACUGCAGAGGAAGAGAACGGGCAACAAACCAGCAAAAGGGCUCUGUCAGCUCCUGAGUGGUGCUCAGGAGCGCUGAUCCUGCCGCACUGCCAGGGAUUUGCUCCGAUGGCUGGGCUGCAGAAGCUGCCAGCUAACUAAUGGAUUUGCUCGGAGGAUGGCAGUGGGGGAGGGUGGUUUCUGCAGCAAACAGAAACGAGGAGAACAAAGUGUUUGCAAUUCCUUGGACAGUGAGUGAGCUGACACACGAACUUAUUAACGUGAACACGCAAAAUGCUCAUUUCUCCUCUGGGAGCCAGUGACUAGAGGCAAAGCCAAGUUCUCUCCCUCAAGCUCAGCUGCUUCAACACAAAAAUUUGAGUUAAGAGGCUGCUCUAAGGAUUGCUUUUCCCCAAGGAGAGCUUAGAGCAGUUAUUUUGGGAUAUCUGAAGCACAGGAACAUUCCUGGGAUUCUGCAAUAAGCUUCAGAGUUGGGAAAACAGAAUUUGCUAACCGGCCAUGGCUUGGAAGGAAACUACCAAUCACCUCCAAAAGCCAAAUGUUGCUCUACUGCUGUCCUUCUCAGUGGAGAUGCAAAAGGGUACCGCUGGUGCACUGACAGACAGAAGGCAGCUGUCCCGAUUUCCCUCUGCAUGGCUGGGGAUGCUUCCUGCCACCACAGCCUUACAUACAACGAGCUGUAAUCACCUGCUGGGGAAUUCCAGUGGAGAGCACCAUCCCACAGGAGACUGUGCUGAUGGUCCACCAGCAAGUGCUGCGCUGCUGAUGUGCCAUUUUUGGAAGGAGGUGUAACUAGCUAUGUCACCCCACAGAGCAGGCUGAAAAUAGGAUUGCACUCACUGUGCCAUGUGGCUCAGUGGGAGGGAACUGACCUCCAACAGAGCAGGGACAAAGGAAAAAGUAAGGAAGAUCAAUGUCUUGGGAAGACUAUGGUCCCUGAGGAGGAACAAUAAAAAUGUACCUUUCAGAAUGAAUGUGUGAGCGGAAUAAGGAGCUCAGAGAAGAUAUCUCAUGCAGAGAAGAAAAAACAGAGAGAGAGAGAGAGAGAGAGAGAGAGAGAGAAAAGCAGAUGGUAAGUAGGGAAUUUGCAUCUGUGAGUACUUUCCGGGUGCAGCAUAAUGAAAAAAUGCAGUACACCUCCAGGCCAGCCAGUUACUGAUGCACAGUCAGUGCUGUGAAAAGGACAAGGCAAGGCAGGGCUGGGCUCAGAGUCAGUGUCUGACAGACACUUGCUGGCUUCCUCUUUUACCCAGAACAUCAUUCCUAUCAGGCAGCAUGUGUUCAGCUCCAGCAUCUGGGUUAUGAUUUUUUGGCAGCUGCACAAAAUCUCUGCUAUUAAAUCCCACCUGCCAGUCUCAUGUCUGCUCCCAGAGACCUUUGCCUGUUAGCAAAUGUUUCAAAAUCACACUGCCAGGCACAGCACAUCAUUCUACAAUCCCACCUCAGGCAAAAACCCUCAUGCAAGGUCUCCUUUUAACUUCCGUGGGUUGCAGAAGGGAAAGGCUAGAGGACAGGCCUUUAGAUAACAGACAGAAAUAUUCAUUUAGGUCAUGGCUUGCACUGGAUUCCUUUCAGCACUAAUGUGAAACAGCUAUUUACCCCCUGAAUUAUCUGAAUAAUACUAUUUUGUCUGUGACAUUCUAAGAAGCUUUCUUUUGAGACAUGUUCUGUGAUGCAGCUGCACAGAGAGAAUUUGUGAACUUUGUUCUCUGGAAUCUGUUCAUGUGAAGUUGUUCUUCCCCUCUUUAAAAUUCUUCCCUUCCCUUCUCUUGCUUCUUAGUCCCAGAUGAGCAAUACUACCAGUAUGAUGUGUGCAUACUCUAUGUUGCUCCACUGUUCAAACAGUUCCUUAGUAAACAAAAUGCAGAAAUACAGCUUGCUCAUUUAUCUUGGGUAAGAGAUCUUCUCACAGAAAUAACUGCAAUUUUUAAUUCUGCACAGGGAGAAAGGGCCUAAACUUCCACAUAAAUCAUAUGCUGUUAUAUUUCACAAUCUGAUUUUCCCUGGCAUGAGCCUAGGCAAUGAGGCUGUGCUUCUGGUGCAAAGGACAACAUCUCCUGGAGAUGAAAUCAGCUACUUGAUUAUGGUAUCUCUAAAAUUGCAAACAAAAGAGACAAUCAGUGCUUUUUGAUGUGGACAUCUGUCAGUAGAGAAACAACUGCUAAUUGUCAUGUAAUAAGCAUACCAGACACUUCCAUAGCAGUGAUCUUUCUGGAAGUCAAGCAUGACAAAAAUGUUACUCAUCCAAGCACCAAGCAUAUUUCAUCUGAAUCUGGCUGCAUUUCUGCAACUGUUUAAAACUCCAAAGUGAUACAAUGCUUUUUUAUAGACAGAUACCCGAGAUCAAAAUACUUAGCCAAAAUAAAGCAAUCAGUAAUGGUUUUUGUUGGCAUGUGGUUAAGCUAUCUAGCUUUAUAUUCUAAUAUUUGCAUUUUAGUUUUAGAAGCAAUGUAGGUGUAGUGAGAAGAGGUGCUGGUAUCUCACAUAAAUACAAGCACGUGGGAUUUGUAGAGAAUUGGUUCAGCCACAGAACUAUUCAGCUGCACUUCAUUCAGAGGAGUCCUUGCUCCCACAGAAGCACUGUAGGAGCUGUCAGUUUGGCAGCUACAUGGCUCUACAUGAGCUCUGAGCAAUGUUAAAGCAGCACAAUGCUGUCUAAAAGCCAUGUGCGGGGAGGAAUAGCUAAUUCUCUUUGUGUGAAAGGACUGACUGUAGACAGCCUGCCAACUAUAGAAUCCACACACGUCAUUUCCUAAAGCAUCUGCACGCCUCCCUUGCAGGCAUGGGCUCAUCAGUCCAUCACUUAAUUGAAGAGAAUGGAAAAAAUAGUUGAACCCUCUCCAGGAACAGGUAAGGAGAUAUCUUCUAAUGACUGAACCAGGUUUGAACCCACCAAGAACUUCUUUGGAGUAUCUCUUGUUUAGAUGGCACCCAAGCUCCCUGCACUACAGACCAGCUAUUCUGGUGGUUACAUAGUUUGGCACUAGUCUAAUGAUGGAUACUGUAUUUGGAAUAAACUUUCUUGAGAGCUGCCAGAGAACUGCUUGAUCAUCAGUUAAGAGGGUAAUACCAAUCUCUCAUGAUUUUCAGCAAACCAGUAAAAAAAACUCGACUGCCUAAACAUAAGCUGCAAUCACACAUAAGAUACGUUUUAGCACUGCCCAGAGUCCUAAGCAAGAAAAACAAAAUAACAAACACCAUGAAAUCUUUUUUACCAGUACAGUGAACAGAACGCUUACAGAGCAAUAAAACCUCCAGCACAGUAUCCAUUCUCUAGUCUAGCACAGCCAUUUCAUUUUAAUGAGUUUGGUUUGCCUUUGUCCCAGGAGGAAUGGCCAUGGGUAUAUUAAAUGAACCAGCCUGCAUCUUUGAGGUACCCAGGGAAGCAGCAAUGUGGAAAAGACCCAUGGUGUCUAGGGAGCACAGGAGACAGAAAAUGAGGAUAGGGGCAUCUUCAUUUGCUGUUGUGUCAAAGGCUCAACAAAACACAGACUCCAGCAGCAGCAGCCCCUGAUGGGGAUGAUGUACUUGUAAAACAUUUACAUUUUCAGCAGGAUGUUUCUAAUUAAAUUCAAUUGGUUUGCACACCUGCUGGGAGUGACUGCUCUGCACCUCAUCUCCUGCUUCUACUUGAGCACAGAGGAUGCAACUGCUGAGGCUACCACACAGCACUGUGUUCCUUUUGUGCAGACAGUAAUUGAGAAAAUGGAUGGCAACUGCCUGCUUUGUGUUUGCUACCGUUCUAGGAAGUGCUUUAUUUAUUUUUUUUUCUUUUUCCCUCCAGAGCAUCAGAGGUUUUACAGCCCUUUUGCAAGAGUGGGCGACUGACAGGGCUUUGUGCAGCUUCCUGACUGUAGGAUAUGAGGAUUGAUGCUGGUAUUAAACCCCUCAGGUCCAAGGAAGGUACCUGUACAGAUCCUGACUACAAUCAGAUCACAAGGCAAAGGAUGGUAUUGAAGCAUACCAUGAUCUGUAGUGCAAGACAGAACAGCCAGCUGUCACUAAACUCUUCUUAACCUGUUUUAUGAGCACAGCCUGACUCAAACAUUUUAAGAAAGGGUUUUAUUGAUACUGUGUUAUAUUGUCUGAGGCAUUUAUGGUUUUGCCCAGAAAGGUCUGAGGCAACCAAACCUUCAGAGAAAGCUGCUAUAACAGUGUGGAUAGUCAGCAGGACUUCUGGCUUAUCACUGCUGUCCUAGGCUCCCUUUCUGCAUGUUUAGGGAGCCAGCAGUUGUCAGUGAGAUGUAAGUCAUACCUCAAAAGAAUACUUGAAUGUAAUGGCCCUGUUGUAUUGCGGCAUUGCCCUGCUGUGAAAUGAGAAAAAUGCAUUUACUGUGCUGAGGCAGCAGGUCAGCAUCCCAAAUGUUCUCCCCUCCAACAAGCUCACUGGGUCAGAAUAAUUCUGUUUUGGAUUGUACAGGACAGUCUCCUGGGUAACACGCUUCACAGCAAUGCUUGGGGGGAACACGCCCUUGAGUGCAAGGCAGUCAAUGAGAUUUAUAAUUACUGUGUUUUAUAACCUCGUUCAUUCAGGCAGGGAAGGAUACUGCUGAAGAGAGCUCAAACAAGAGAAACCAUCAAUCUGCAGCUACGUAAAUAACUGAUGGCAAAAUGCCCUCUUUUGUCCACUGUGCUGUCCAGAGUCACACAAAAAAUGCACACGUUAGUUUUAAACUCAGGUGGCUGUAGGAUGUGGAACUCUGACUUCCGCUACCCUCUCCCAGAGAAGGGGAUGUAAAAUCCACUCUGUAUCACUGAAAUCUAACUGCAUUAAGCAAGGUCUUGGCUCAAGGCCAGGUCCCAGCUGUCCCUGCAGUGAUAAUGACCACUCUCCCCCAGGAUGCUGGGCACAGGCAGAAUCCAGCUGCAUUUUCACACAUGUAAAUUGUCUGAAACAUGGUGGUGUUAAUGCUUCUGAGAUGGCAGACCGAACCUAUAGAUCAUCAACAGCAAGCCCCAUACAGAUUGUAUUUUAUUUUUGGAAAAGCCUGGAGGUAAAAAAAAAAAAUCUCCUGGUACAGUUUAUCUGAUGCUUUGUUUUUGAGUGUCCUUGAUGCAUAACAGCAUGCUAUCAUCUCUAAAGAUUAAAAACAAUCCCUUCUUAUUGCUCUGCUGGGUAUUUUCAAAGAAAUUCAUGCACAGAUGAAAACAAAUAAAAACAAUGCCCAGUGGCUCUGAAGAGAUCCUGGGCCUCCAGUUUCAAGUAGUCUGGAGACAAUUUUAAACAUAGACAGACCUACUAAAUCCUUAACUACAGCUCCAGUGAGGACAUGCAGGCAAAACUUCAGUAGCUUUAACAGGGUGAGGCUGGUUGAAGAUUUUCAACAUCAUCUCCAUUUUGUGAUUUUUAGGGUAUAGCUUAACUAAGAUCCAGAGUUUAUCACAUCCAACAUUGGAUUUUCAUUAUUUCUUAAACUGCAGCUUCAAGUUAAAUAACAACACCUUUGUUCAGGCUUGGUUUAAAACUGGCAAAAAUUCAGAGUAACCAGGUUGGUUUUCAGGAUGUUAAAGUCUGGAGUUUAUGAUGGACUAUGGCAAGGGUGGAGAAAGUCACCCUCUUAAUAUCAGUGCAGGACUGGGGCCCAAAAUGACUGAAUUAAAUGCAGUGUAAACUGAGAGGGCCUCAGGCACUGAUGAAGGAACAGUUCAGCUCGCUUCAGUUAACAUGUCUUUUGCUUUUACCCACUUGGCUUCAUUGUUCUGAGGAUCUGGCCCAGUACAAAAAUGAAAUCCCACCCCCCAGCUCCUGUUCUGCUUCCAGCUUUUGCUGCUGGCUAUCUCUGAUGGACAGUUGCAGAAUUUCUUACGGAGAAAUCUAUGUGACACUGCUGCACUUAGAAAAGUCUGAAAAUAGGCUUUUUUCUUUAGUCCUGCUUCUGCACUGACCUUGCUCAGAGUGGAAAGCACUUUGCCAGGAUAUACUUGACAGUUUAGUUUUUAAUGGCUGGGCAAAAUCAUUCACAAGAUCACCAUGAAGCAAAAUAACUCCAGAUGGAACUAGUGUAAGAUGCUUGGGCCAAACACAUGAAGUUGAGUACACGGAUAUUGAUUUAGGGGUGUUUGUGGUGUGGAGGAUAACAGAGAUAAAGCUGAACAUAAAACCAUGCUCUCCUGAUGAUAAGCAGCCUCACAAUGCAGUGUAUCACAAUACACUGAAAGGAGGACACAGCAGGUCAUGUUCAGAUUAUACCCACUGCAGACUUUCAUUGCAUUUUUAGAAAAUCCCUCAUUUAUUUCUAAAUUAAACUUACACCUGCUAUGCACUGCCUACCUUCUUUACUGCAGUUGAAAUUCCUUUGCUUUUAAGUCUGUAUGCUGUCUGGGUGUUGAAAGCCCCCUCAUGUUUUGGACAGUAAUAUAAAAAAUCUCCCCAUGGCCCUCCCUCACCCUCUUUAAGGCAUUGGACUGCUUGUUUAGCUGUGUUUGUUAACCUUGGCCAUCCCCUAUGCUUUGCUGUGAGGCCACUGCUGCUGACCACACUGCUGUUAGUUGGCUAUUUGUGGUGUAAAAGAGCACUACCAACAGCAUUUUAGAUGUGAUAGUACAGCACUGCAGAGAGACAGGCACUUUCAAGGCUUCUUUACCUCUUCUACUUUGCAUGGGAAUUACCGGAAGCACAGUGGCUUUGGUUUGGGAGAGUUAGUUUUAUCUUGUCCCUGGUUUACCUCUUGAAGUUUUCCCAGCAUACUGGGAGAGCUGUGGAAGCAUCAGAUUUUAGUGUUGCACUCAGUGAGGGACUGCAAUGUUCAAGCAAGGUUAUUUAGGCUUGUCAAAAGCUCUAUGCAGCAGUCCUAGUCACCUGGGGAAGGGGGUGGCAUCCACACCCACAGCUGUCCUGUCCUUGAGAAAAACAUCUCAGGCCCAGGUAAGUGUUAAAGGCAUGAUACAGACUUUUAUUUCUUGCCCCAAGCACUGGGAUAUUCUGCCACAGGUACCUAAAAGUCAUCAUAAUUCCUUUUAAUUUGAAAGGUUUCACUUUUCACCAUCUAUGGUAUCUGAGCAAAGGAAGUCUCUCUUAAAGGGAGCUCUCUUCUAAUAGGAGAUGGGGAGAAGCAGUCCUGGUUCUUCUCAAACUGUGACAGGCUCUAUGACCACUGAGAUGGAAAAAGUUUGCAGAUUGUCUAGUUCAAAGUAUGCAAAAAUAGCAGGGCUGCAAUUCCAACAAGGCUGCUCUUCUGUCCCUGUUUGAUGACAGCUUGUGAGAGUGAAAAUGAGUAGUGCAAGACUAAUGAGACUUAAUUGAUUGUAGAAUUUUAGUUGUGUAAAUUUGAUUUGAAAGGACUUGUGCUACAUGUAUAUAUCAUGACUAGUCAUUGCUGCCUGCACUGGCACUACAUUAUGUGAGCAUUCUUAUUCCAGAGACUAGCUGCAUUGAUAAAAUCACUUAGUACAGCUGACCAAGCUAAAUAUAAAUACAUAAAAAAUAGGCUGUCUUUUGGCUCAAGGAUCUCACAUAUACACCAUUUUUACUUUGUGAUGCUAUUUUCGAUGCUUCUAUUUUGUAUUUUCUGGCUUGGGAAAGCUAAUUUCAAACAAUGGGUUACUUGCAAACCACUUCCUUUGAUUGUUCUUCCUUCACUAUUCAAAGUAAGAGAUAAGUUAAAAUUAUAUAUGCUUCAAGUUAGUCUGACUUGCUGUGUCAGCCAGCAAAUAAUAUCGUAUAGAAUUUUUCAGAGAACACAAAACCUAUGAGCUAAGAAACUUUUCUAAUCACUGGUGACUAUGGUGAGGUUAAAAAAAUAAUUUAAAGUUGAAGAAAUGUGAAAUUAACACCUAUCUCAAAUACUUCACAAUCAUUUAUCAUUAGUGGAAAGCAGUCCUGAGCUUUCAAGGUUGCCUGAUAAACACAUUUGCUGUAUUCCAGCAACAGCAAGGAAUACUAAGGUGAGGGUUUCUGCUCCUGAAGCCCAGAAUUCUCCAGGGCUUGUGUGUUUUACUGGUCUCUCUCUACAUUUAUUUACUCUUCUUGCUCUCAAGGCAAGAUGGUUUUCAGGCAAACAAGAUACCAAAUGGUCCAUGAACCUAGUGCCGACAAUACUGCAGGCAAUUUUGCUCUUAAUGUGCAUGAAAUAUGUGUGGAAUCUCUUACUCUCACUGAAGUCACUGGAGAACUGGUAUCUGCUUGUACUGCAGAAGCCUGUCCUGAACUAUCCUCGCAUAAAUAAUCUCAGUUCAGAAAAGAUUUAAAUGCUGUGGAGUCUGCUUGUGUGUUAGCAAAGCUAUAAGCUCUCCUACAACAUCAAGCUUUGAGCCUCACAAUGCAGUGAGGGAUUAUACAGGACUGUAGAAAUGCUUCACUGUGGCAUUUGUUUAAUGUGACCUAGCUUCAUUUGUCUGUAUUAGUCACUCCUGUGCUCUGCUGAGCUGCAAGUGACAGCCUCAAUGACAAAACACCUCUGCUGGCCAAUCUGCCACAAAAAAUUACUAUAAAAAGUAAUUAUAUGAAGUACAGUGACAUCUUCAGAAGCUCUAUAUAUUUUGCUAGAUGCAGGGGAAUAAUACUGCUCUCAAUCCCAUUAGAAGUGCCAAACCUGCUCACCAUUAGCUGCUUUGGGAAACACUGGCCAGGGGAGUAUUUACAUAAGGAUGAAGCUAAUCUUUCUCCAGGUUUAAAAAUCUGUCACAAUCUCAGAGCAGCUUGAGAAUUUAUUUUAGAUGCAAUUCAUAGUUUGUCCUUCACUACCAAUUUGGUUUAGCCAGGGUGGUAUGUUAUGCCAAAUGUGCUGAACAAGGGCUGUACUUGGCUCUGCAAGGCAAGAGAGGCAGUGGGAGGGAC